GAUGAAGAACGUAGCGAAAUGCGAUAAGUAAUGCGAAUUGCAGAAUCCGUGAGUCAUCGAAUCUUUGAACGCACAUUGCGCCCCUUGGUUAUUCCGAAGGGCAUGCCUGUUCGAGCGUCAUUAUCACCCCUCAAGCUCAGCUUGGUGUUGGGGCCUGCUGCACUGGCAGCCCUUAAAAUCAGUGGCGGCGCCAUCUGGCUCUAAGCGUAGUAAUUCUUCUCGCUAUGGAGUCCUGGUGGAUGCUUGCCAUCAACCCCCAAUUUUUCUAUGGUUGACCUCGGAUCAGGUAGGGAUACCCGCUGAACUUAAGCAUAUCAAUAAGCGGAGGA
rnacentral:misc_RNA from 1 species